GUGCCUCGGCUCACUCCCAACCCCUGUGACAUACCACUUGUUGCCUCGGCGGAUCAGCCCGCUCCCGGUAAAACGGGACGGCCCGCCAGAGGACCCCUAAACUCUGUUUCUAUAUGUAACUUCUGAGUAAAACCAUAAAUAAAUCAAAACUUUCAACAACGGAUCUCUUGGUUCUGGCAUCGAUGAAGAACGCAGCAAAAUGCGAUAAGUAAUGUGAAUUGCAGAAUUCAGUGAAUCAUCGAAUCUUUGAACGCACAUUGCGCCCGCCAGUAUUCUGGCGGGCAUGCCUGUUCGAGCGUCAUUUCAACCCUCAAGCACAGCUUGGUGUUGGGACUCGCGUUAAUUCGCGUUCCUCAAAUUGAUUGGCGGUCACGUCGAGCUUCCAUAGCGUAGUAGUAAAACCCUCGUUACUGGUAAUCGUCGCGGCCACGCCGUUAAACCCCAACUUCUGAAUGUUGACCUCGGAUCAGGUAGGAAUACCCGCUGAACUUAAGCAUAGCAAUAAGACGGAGGUUAAAACC
rnacentral:rRNA from 1 species